rnacentral:rRNA from 1 species
CCUGCCAGACAGGGAAACUGCGUACGGCUCAUUACACCAGCCUUAAUUUACUUGACCUUGACAACCUACUUGGAUAACUGUGGUAAUUCUAGAGCUAAUACAUGCACCAAAGCUCCGAUCCUCGCGGAGAGGAGCGCAUUUGUUCGCCACAAAACCAAGCGCCCAUCUGGGCGUCCAGUGCUGAACCAGAACAACUCAGCUGAUCGCACGGUCUUGUACCGGCGACGUGUCUUUCAAGUGUCUGCCUUAUCAACUUUCGAUGGUAGUGUACCUGACUACCAUGGUUGUGACGGGUUACGGAGGAUUAGGGUUCGACUCCGGAGAAGGGGCCUGAGAAAUGGCCACUACGUCUAAGGAUGGCAGCAGGCGCGCAAAUUACCCACUCUCAACGCGAGGAGGUAGUGACGAGAAAUAACGAGACCGUUCUCAUACGAGGCCGGUUAUUGGAAUGGGUACAAUUUAAA